GUUUGAGAGGCAGGUUUAUGGUUCCUCCUAGACUCUCAGGAGUUAACACACACAGGUCAGGGAGGGUUUGAGAGGCAGGUGUAUGGUUCCCCCUAGACUCUCAGGAGUUAACACACACACGGAGGGUUUGAGAGGCAGGUGUAUGGUUCCCCCUAGACUCUCAGGAGUUAACACACACAGGUCAGGGAGGGUUUGAGAGGCAGGUGUAUGGUUCCCCCUAGACUCUCAGGAGUUAACACACACAGGUCAGGGAGGGUUUGAGAGCCAGGUUUAUGGUUCCCCCUAGACUCUCAGGAGUUAACACACACAGGUCAGGGAGGAUUUGAGAGGCAGGUUUAUGGUUCGCCCUAGACUCUCAGGAGUUAACACACACAGGUCAGGGAGGGUUUGAGAGGCAGGUGUAUGGUUCCCCCUAGACUCUCAGGAGUUAACACACACAGGUCAGGGAGGGUUUGAGAGGCAGGUUUAUGGUUCCCCCUAGACUCUCAGGAGUUAACACACACAGGUCAGGGAGGGUUUGAGAGCCAGGUUUAUGGUUCCCCUAGACUCUCAGGAGUUAACACACACAGGCCAGGGAGGAUUUGAGAGGCAGGUUUAUGGUUCCCCCUAGACUCUCAGGAGUUAACACACACAGGGAGGGUUUGAGAGGCAG
ensembl:lncRNA